rnacentral:rRNA from 1 species
GACGAACGCUGGCGGCGUGCUUAACACAUGCAAGUCGAACGCUGAAGCUUGGUGCUUGCACUGGGUGGAUGAGUGGCGAACGGGUGGGUAAUACGUGAGUAACCUGCCCUUGACUCUGGGAUAAGCCUGGGAAACUGGGUCUAAUACUGGAUACGACAUGUCACCGCAUGGUGGUGUGUGGAAAGGGUUUUACUGGUUUUGGAUGGGCUCACGGCCUAUCAGCUUGUUGGUGGGGUAAUGGCUCACCAAGGCGACGACGGGUAGCCGGCCUGAGAGGGUGACCGGCCACACUGGGACUGAGACACGGCCCAGACUCCUACGGGAGGCAGCAGUGGGGAAUAUUGCACAAUGGGCGGAAGCCUGAUGCAGCGACGCCGCGUGAGGGAUGACGGCCUUCGGGUUGUAAACCUCUUUCAGCACGGAAGAAGCGAAAGUGACGGUAAGUGCAGAAGAAGCGCCGGCUAACUACGUG